CUUUUUCCUUAACUUGCUUGCUUAUUUGCAUUCAGAAACUGUCUCAAUUUAUCUUCUAAUCAAAUAUGUAUGUUGUGUUAGAUAGUGCUAUGUUACCGUUCCAAUCAUCACAGGGAGACUCGUGAGCGUCUGUCAAGGAAAAGUCCUCAUCGUCAUUAAUGUCAGUACCACAUAGACCGUUCCUUGAUACCAGCCUCAGUGAAUAAAACUAAGAAAGAAUAAAGUUCUAUGAUCACUCUUCUCUCUUUAUUUUCCUUUUUCAUUAGCUUACUCUAGAGAUUUUACAUGUAUAUGUACCAAGAGUUAUACAAGGUGAUCUUGUUUGUAUCCAAAAUAUUUAUUGGUUCGUUUAAAUUGUUCAGGGUUUUGGUACUAGGCGUUGACUUGCAACCAGAUCUAAAGUCUAGACCAUAAGCCAGCCACGAAAUCCCCCUUGUAAGUUGUCAUUUAUUUGAUCUCACAAUUUUUUGAUGGUGUUUGUUAAUCUAUGUAUACAUUUUCACUUAUUGUACACUAUUUCAAUUGUAUACCGUUUUGGAACUUGCAGAUUAAAGCACUUCACUCCGUUGCAAAGCAAGAAACAGACUUGUGGUCUUUUGCAAUGGACUUUAGAGACAUAACUAUCUUACGUUUCAUAAGUUGAUUUCUUCUUCCAAGUGAAAAUAGUCCUCCUUGAUGUUGAUGGUUCUUUUUCCAUACAAGAUUAUUUAGACAUUGUUUCGUCGUUUCUGGAGAGUGAAAUAUUACAUCGGGACUUACUUCAAUAUGGAUCUUUGUUUUUCUCUUUUUGCACCAAGAUUGAUGGUUAACCUCCGUUAUAUCUGUCAUAGAUGGUGGUUUCUUAGCUGGAAAAGUUCUCAGAUGAUUAGUGUUGCUGUUAAGGGCGUAGCUUGUUUGACAUGCAUAUCAAGGUUUGUUAUAAGUGAUGCUGGCUAAAUCACUUGUUGUAAGACUACACGGAAACUUAAAGAGUAUGGUCAAAGGUUUAUUGUAGCGGCCAGAAGGAACGGAAAACAUGUUCAAAUCCAUGGUAAGACUUCUGUGGGAGAUGCUCAUCAACCAUGUGGCCCGGAGGUUGUCAAGUCUGUACUCUGUGAUGCAUGAGAAAUAUGAAACUCUUGAUAAAACAUCCAAGAGAUUUGCUAACAAUUUUAAAAGUGGUCUAGAUUUCAGUAUCGGUAUUGUCAUACAUCUUCUCUUAAUUCUCAGAUUAAGGAACGUAAAAAGAAAAAAUAUGAAGCUGGCU